UAUAUAUAUAUAUGUAUGUUUUUUUUUCUUUCUUUAAUAUAUUGACUAUGGACAAAUUCUUGACAGAAUUAAAUAGAAACAUGUAGUUACAUGGGGUAGAGUCAGAUAAGCUUAGGCUUCCUUCUACUCCCUUUUUGAACAAAUAUGAUUUUACGAUAAAGGAAAAUUAUGAUGCAAUAUCUUUUUUCUUUUAUAUUCUAUUGUAUUAUGGAGUUAUCAUUUUUCUGUAUUUUUAUUUUUUUCUUGUAUUUCUUUAAUGUUCGAAAUAAACGUUUAAAAAAAAAAAAAAAAAUCAACCAUAAUAUCGGAUCGGUAUCGGGUAUCGACCGAUACGCAAAGCCACGGCAUCAGUAUCGGUAUCGGAACUGAAAAAGUCGGAUCGGUGCAUCUCUAAUAAGCGCACAACGUUGAGCUGGUACGACGUCUCCUAAAUGAUAAGGUAAGCAGAAUACCUGUUACUAUAUGUCGAAAUUCUGCAAAUUGAAAGAGGAAAUUUAAGAGGAGACUGUCGUUCAGAUCAAAUAAGGUGUGCAAGCAAUUAGAAACAGUUAAAUUCCGUGGUGGGAGUGCGGGCUCCUCUGUUCUUUUAGAAACAGUUAAAUUCCGUGGUGGGAGUGCGGGCUCCUCUGUUCUUUUAGAAACAGUUAAAUUCCGUGGUGGGAGUGCGGACUCCUCUGUUUCGCUUCGUCGUGGCGGACAAGGGUGCGGUGACGAUCGCAUUCAAAUAGCUGGGGUGCUUGUGAGAUCCCCGAGGAGAAGUGAGGCCUCCUCAAAAAGUAUCCGGUGGUAACAGUUCCUCCUGUGAGAGACCAGACCGCUAAAAUAUCUAAAAUGUGCAACCAAAUUGGGGGGAGUGUGUGUGUGAUGAGAAGAAUGAAUGGAGUGAGAUUGAGAGGAAUGUAUGCUGAUGUGGAAGCGCAAAUCGUGAGCUACAUGAGAGAUGGAUUUGAAUCCCUUUGUCUGUGUGUUCUGUGUAUGUGCGUAAUCUCUGUAAAAGUUUGUGUCAGUCUAUCGUCGUUCGUCUGAGCUCUGCGCGAGCACUUUGUGUAUUGGCGUGCGUGCCGUGCGGAUGCGUGUGUGUAUGUGCGGUUGUGUGCACGCUCGCUGUGUGUGCGUUUAUGUGCACAUGUGUGGUUGCGGGCGUGUGAGGAGGAAGAUGGGAUGGAUCAGAGAAUGUUCAAGAAAGGAGGGGGCCCGUUCGGCUCAUACCGGCAAGGGUGGGGGCCAGCAGGACGUGCGGGCCUGGCCAGAUUGUGACGUCAACAUUGAUACAAUGUUGAGGAGAAGUGAGAGAAGAGAGGGGGGCUAACUUGUAAAUAGUGAUGAGAUAAUUGUUCAAUUGAUGGGAGUUAAUAACUAUCCAAAUUCUAGUCACAUGUUUUGAGGGACCACAGCAACAACAUUGUACUUGCAGGCCAUUAAUUUAGUAGGUGAUGACAGUGUUUAGCUAAGUAGACUGUUUUAUGUGAUAGUGAAGGAGUAUUUGUAGUCUGGCAUUUGGGUGCCACUUUUAAGAGUCUGUGCAGGAGCAUAGAUUGUUUUGGUUGUUUUUAAAGAUAUAUUUAAAAGUUUAUUUCGGUGCAGUAAGGAUAUAGCAGUUUUGAAAGACUUAAAAUUAAAAGCAAAAUUACAUUUUAAUUCUGACAUAUGCCAGCUAACAUGAGGAUGGCAAAUAAAUAAAUGAAUAAAUACUAGCUCAAAUGUGGCAUGUGUUUUAAAUUGGGCGAUAAGACAUUCACUUUCGAGCACUAUCAUUUAGCGCUGCUGACAACAAUAACUUAUGAGAUGGUAAAUCAAGGAGGAGUGUCACAGGCGCUGUAUGACCUAUAGAUUGAACAAUAACAUUCACCGCAUAUGUUGGUAGAUUGUUAAAUUAUAUUACAGUUUAUUACAAAAGAUUUCGGAAUUUUAUUUGAUGACAAACAUUGGAACGAGGAUUUUAGCCGUGUUAAUGGGUAGAGUGGAUGGAUUGCUCAGAAGAGAGAAAAAAAAAAAAAAAAGCAUUUGAUAAGGGCGGCUUGAUAGUAAGAUGAUGAGUGUGCGCAACUACUAGGAUACAAAAUGUUAAUAGGAAGCUUUGGGGUGUAAGGAACAAAUACUACACAGGAAGACUGAUAACACAAAGAUAGUUUUGUUAAAAGUGUGUCCCAGUGUGUUCUUCCCUAGCGCGUGGCACGAUUCCUGAACUGAGUCCUCUUACUCCACUGGCUGUCUCAAAAUCAACAGAGGACUGUCCCUGGUCAUGAGACACCUUUGACCUUUGGGAGAACAACAGAAACUGCUAUCAUGCUUGAAGGGGGCAAGCACAGCUUUUCACAGGACAAGAACUAUACAGUUGGUGGAAUACACACAGUUGCAGAUCAAAAAGAAAAUGGACUGAAAGAACAAAGACAAGAUAAACGCAUUUGAGAGUGGCGGAUGAUCCAGCCCUGAAUCAUCAUCAUGAGAAUCUAAGAGGAGAGGCUGCUAAAGACUUGCAUGAGUCACAUGAAGUCAAACUGGACACAUUGCUAAAGACUGCUGAAGCAUUACAAAGUUGGUGGAGUGUGGGACAAAAGGGAUGGAAGUGUGUUUGGGUGCUGGGGCGGACAUAUCUGAGGAGUUUUGAUAAAAGAGGGAAUAAUAAGGCUGCUUAUUGACACUAGAACGGGGAUAACAACAAAAUACAUAGAUAUGGACAGUGAAGAUGCACUAAUAAUAAUAAAUCAUACGACAGCAAAAUAGUAAUACAGGGCACUACUUUUAAAAAGGGUACAGUAGGGCUUUAAAUAACAAAUACAGUGACAUGACCCUUGCGACAAUUGAUUUAUUUAUUUUAUGAUCGGCACUUAGGGUUAGGAUUAACAAUCCAUCCAUCCAUCCAUUACUGGUGCGGCUUGUCCUUACGAGGGUCACGGAGGAUUAACAAUAAUAAUUAGAAUUUGUAAUUUCUGGAGAAAUUGUGUGUGAAGGCAAAGAGGCUGAAUACAAAUUCGGGGAAUGGUACAAGAUUAUGUUUAAAUUUAGAACGUGUUGAAUUGGUCAGAAAAUCGAUGAAAAUAUCGAAAGAAUUUUGUAAAAUUGGGCGUGAAUUUUAAAGUUGAAAAUUUAAGAUUUUUCACAAGUGGGAAGUUUUGGAAUAGGUAGGCAUAAGAUGAAUACCGUUUUUUUCCGUGUAUAGUGCGCAAUAUUUUACUAAUUUAUUGUCCUAAAAUCUGGGGUGCGUAUUAUACAUGGGUACAAAGAAAAAAAAAAUUAAAUUUCUUUUUUUUUUAUUUUUUUUUUUUUUUUUUUUUUUAAAUAAAGUCAUGGUACAACAAAACCAACAACAGGACUGACCGACAAAGUCGUGGAACAAAAAGACAGGGUGACAUUACCAAAGACAGGAACAGAAUGACAGUAACACAUGCAAUGAUCCAACGGUGAGCGAGGGGCAGACAGGACUUAAAUACAAAACACGUUACAUCGAUUGAGGUGACACAGGAAGAGCGGGGUGACACGAACAGAAACUAUGGCAACCUAGACACAUAGCAAAACUGGGGACGAGACAUGACAAAUCUCCCCCGAAAUAAAACUCACCUUUCUUCUUGUUUGUUGUCAAUCGCGCAUCGCAUUCAGCCAUCCUGCCCAACACACUUAGUAAAAUUCAUAAUUGACGACACAUCGUUUGAUGCGAUGGUGCAAUCCUCGAUGGUGUGUUAUUGUCAAAUAUUGUUUGUUUUUUAAUCUCCAUCGCGGACCGGACGUCAUACGGAGGCCGCCAUUACAGAUGCGCAGAACGGUUGCGCAAGACACGUCAGCUAUAUAAAGAGCGAGAGUUCAGUUCUCCACCUAUUAGUUUCAAUUCACAGUUUAAUUAGCAGUUUCAAUCAGCAAAUAACAAAAUGCGUAUUACAGGUAAUAUUUUAUUUCACAACACUUUGCCUUGUUCCUUUCGUCUCUGCUGUUCAUUUCAAACACGCUCCAUACGACCGCAAUGCUCUUGUAUCAGACGCUCGCUCGAUCACCUGCUAGUUUGCCGUCUGUCACAAUGUACCCUACACAAAUCCGAAACAUUUGUUGCGGCUCCGAGUCACGACGAGGGGCAAGUUUUGGUUUCCAAGGUUGUUUUUAUUCCUCUUCAACGUCUCUCCCAUACAGAGCCGCCUUUUUCACGUCCGCAGCCCAUGCGCGCACGGAGCGCGGUGGUGCGUUUAGGGGCAGUCGGAGAAAUCAACGCCAACAAAAAAAAUGACAUCCAGCCUAGUUAAGACCAUACCAAAGACUUUAAAAAUGGGACCCAUUGCCUCCCUGCGUGUGUGACGAUCUUUGGGACUUAAAAAAAAAAAAAAAAAAAAAAAUUUAAAAAAAAAUUAAAAAAAAUUCAUAAAAAUUGGGUGCGUAUUAUACAUGGGUACAAGCUUUUUUCCAGCAUCAGCAUGCCAUUGUUAGGGGUGCGUACUAUACAUGGGGGCGCACUAUACACGGAAAAAAACGGUAGUUAAAAAAAAUUGAAAAGGGUUGAGUCAGUGAAAAAAUAAUUAGAAAUUAGAAGGGAAAAAGGAAAUUUUGCAAAAUGUUACCGCAAUGUUGAAAGUGAAAAUGUGAAAUUUUAAGCUAGAAAGUGAAUCAGAUGAAUUCGUAGAAGUAGUUAAGUUAAAAAAUGAAUAAAUAAAAAAGAGGCAGAAGAACGCAGAAGAAGUUGAAUAAUGAUAAAGUCAAGGCAAGGCAAGUUUAUUUAUAUAGCCCACAAGCAAGUCUCAAAGGGCUUCAAAUGUACAAAAAUUGACAAUUUAAAGUACAAGAACAAUAAGUGUGAGGGCCACAAUGAUGAUCAUGACAGCAAAAAUAUUCCUAAUUGGUUUUGAUAGGUAGAAAGGGGGAGCGUGGAAGGUUUUCAAACUUUGUGAUAUAGCGUGACUCCAUUAUCAAAAGUAAGCAUUUAAUUUUAAGAAUUGGCAUCAACAAAAAUGAGAACGAUAAUCUUCAAGGUGAUAGCGUAAGUGGCAGGAGGAAGCUGUGUAUAUUGUUUUUAAACAUUAUAUUCGGUAUCAUUAUUUUUUUUAGGAGGGUCAGUUAUGCUUGUGAGAAGAUGACUGAGGGAACAAGGUAACAGUAAAAGGGAGUGCUCUAUAAAUUGUUGGUUCUUUGCCAGAGGUAGUUAUUUGGAGGGAUGAAUUUAAACGGAAAGCAAAAUGGAACUGUUUAGUGGAAGAAAUAUGGGAAUGUGGAAAUAUUGAAGUUACAGCUCAACACAAAGUGUCAAAUAGUCUAAGUGAGAGAUGUGAGCAAACUAACUGGGGAGUUAAAUCAUGUUCCAGCAUUAUGCAUAUUGGCAAACGAGGAGAGGACAGGAAACCAGACAAUUAGAUAUUAACUUUGGAUUUAAAAUAAAAAAGGGAAAUUUUAAUUGAGGAGAAAAUUUUGCGUAGGGACGGUUGUUUUUUAUAAUUUAAUAUUGUAUGUUUUUAUGUGUGUGUUGUGGGAUGACAGUUUGUCUGUAAUGGUGUAUGAAUGUCAAGUCUGUGCUUGUGGUGUGGUGUUUGUGUAUUGUGAAUGGUUGACAUGAUUCAAAGUUGGGGUGAUGUGAUCACAGCAGAGGAUAACAUUCCUCUCACCUGAAAAAUAUAAAGAUACUACAGAUUUGAAAAAGUACGAUUGAUCAGGACUAAUUUUAGACUAAAUAUGGGUUUAGGAUUACUCAGGGGCACCAUCGACAACAAAACAGUGCGAUGGAGAAGGCCCAUUUCAGUAAUAUGGUUAGACAAGACAGAAUUAGUAUCGAACAUUAAGACUUUGGACGAUUUGACGUGUGACGACUUUGAGCUCACCCGACGGGGUGACGGACUAGGUGGACAGUGACCAAAUGUUUGACGCUUGAGCUUGCUUGCGAAAAGUGCACGCUCUGCUUUGUUAUUCUGUGUGACUUAAUUUUUUGCAGCAGCAGCAACAGCCACCAGCCAAGGAGCGGAUUGCGCGCUGCUUGCGUAACUUGUUUUCGUUCUUGCAGGUUGUCGAUUGCGUUCGGGGAAAGUUUGUAUUGAAUUUACAAGAAUAUGUUAACCCUUGCCCUUUUGGUUUUUAUGAUGAACUUGUUGAUGACAUGGUUUUCAGGACAUGAUCCGCGGGCGCCAGGAUUCAUUUUAUGACUGUUUUUAUUCUGAUACUUGAUGUCUGUUUUUGUACAAAUGUCCGCUGUCAGCAGGGCUAUAAGCUCACUGACAGGAGUGCGAUGGUUUUUGUUUGUGUUGCCGAGCGUGUGGUGGACGAGCUAGAGGUUCCGCGGGCCUGACUAUAAUGAGUGUGGUGAUGAGAGGGGACGAUUUGCAGGUUCCUUUUGAUACAUAAUGACACAUUGGGUGAAUGUGUCAAAAGGGGGAGUGGUAAAAUAGAAAUGGGUGAGUAUGUGGUAAGAUAGAAUUGGGUGAGUAGGUUGUAAAAUACAAAUGGGUGAGUAGGUUUCAAUUUGUAAUUUUGAUAUCCAAAGUUUUUUUCCAAAUCCACUUGUUUUUAAGCUUUAACAGGACAUGCCAGAAUUCAACUAGCAGUGAUGGAAGGAGCAGAGGAAGACCAGUGACAACUGGUUGUGGUGUGGUGACAACAAAUUAUAGCAUCACUUCCCAAAGGAUGCAUAGGGUAUCUGUGCCCUCGUGUCUUUGAUAAUGCCUGUAGUGGUUGUCCCCAUUGAAACACAGAAUCUCAAUUGGAACAUGGAGUCCCCACUGGCGGGGCUCCUGAAGUGAGCCAAAAGAGACGUUUUGCCCCCAUGGUUGAGCGACAACGAUCCAACAUAUAUUGACGCCAUAGGUGUGCCAGAUAAGUAUGAACUCGUUAAUCAAGUGUCCUCGGGAUUCAAAAGCAUUUUCCUAUGGAUCACCCCCAAUAAAAAUGUAUCAUUUACAGCGGUCCAUGAACAAUUGGCAUUGAUGUCGUUCCAAAAUAGAAUUGCGUUGGACAUGCUAUUGGCUAAGGAACAUGGUGUGUGCGGAAUGUUUGGUGAUGCAUGUUGUACUUUCAUCCCCAACAACACAGCGCCAGGGGGCCGACUGACCCAGGCGGGAAGAAAGGACCGACAGCAUGCUGGUCGCUGCUUGCUAGAGUAACGGGUGAUGACCUCAUAAAUGAGGUCAUGAGAGGGAAUAAAGGGAAAUGUACUUUCGGCAGUUUGCAAACACAUUUGAUUAAGGCUCCGUUAGACACAUAUAACCAUAUCAAUAUAAUUUCUAGUAGUAGUGUGGUCGCUUAAUAAGUGGAAAGGAAUGUGCAGGCUACAUGAAUUUGUUUUCUUCAAAGUAUUGUGGAACAGGAGGUCCAGAAAGGGAGCAUAUCUCAAGGCCGAUGGGAACGCGAAAAACAACUCGUCUUUGUGGUCCAGACACGUGUGCUGAGCAGGGGAAAACCCAAACGAGGAGGAGAUGACCACAGACCAUCGACCAAUCACCACACAAUAUUUUGCAUGUUUGAAUAUUCAUAUUGUGUUUCUUUAAAACUGGGCAACCCGGAAGAGUGUGUCGUCUUUCUGGUCACGAAGGCACACGAGUUUUUGUGUUAAGGACCCAAGACCCAGGCGCCUGUAUUAGCUUGCUUUGACAAGAUUAAACAAUUGGUAAAUUCGGUCUGAUUGAUCUACUGGUCUUCUCUUUGACAGAACGAACUCGCAAAAUUGUUAGGUGCGCCAGUGUGUGGAUUAGAACAUGGCAAUUUUUGUGUUAAGUGUUGAUCACAAUUUGGAGUCAGAUCAAUAGCUAAAAUCCGUAUCCUAACAGUAGCGAGCUUGGGAAAUAUUUAUCUCGCCAAAUUCAUUUUCAAAUCGUCAUUGGCAACGUAGCAAAUAGGCCAUGCAAGGAACUAUACUACAGAAUGUACACUCAUGAGUGAGCACUUGGAAUAAAGUCAUGUAAUAAUUGA